UACGUAGGAGGCGAGCGUUGUCCGGAGUUAUUGGGCGUAAAGGGCGCGUAGGCGGCUCUGCACGUCCGUUGUGAAAUCGCCCGGCUCAACUGGGCGGGGUCAGCGGAUACGGCAGAGCUUGAGCAAGCUAGGGGGCAAUGGAAUUCCCGGUGUAGUGGUGGAAUGCGUAGAUAUUAGCAGGAACACCGGUGGCGAAGGCGGCUAUCUGGACGACAACUGACGCUGAGGCGCGAAAGCGUGGGGAUCAAACAGG
rnacentral:rRNA from 1 species